ACUCGCUUGCUUGCGCUGGGCUUCAGGGCGCCCGGGUGAGUUUUUUUCUCUCCCUCUCGUUUUUUUUUUUUUCCCAGGCUCUCGCGGGUUUCCCCUGCCAGGGAAUCCACUCGCUGUAGUUUUCUAGGGCUCUGGUCCCAGUCCUUUCUGAAGCGCGCUUGCAGGCUGUCUUCCUCAGUCGCCCUCUCCCUGGGUGCUGUUUUGCUGGGCAGCAUCCCAUGCUAGGCUCGGCAGACAUUCUGGCGGUUGGGUUCGGCCCUUACAGCGCUAACACCUGCAGAGUCGAGGCUCCUGCCAAAAGGCAGAAAGCAAAGGAGGAAAAAAUUCAUUGUCAUAAUAGCGAAAAUGAUAAACCUCAGCUGUUUAAGAGAAGAAUGUCUGAGUAGCUGUUGAUUAUCUCCCAUAAUCACAAAACAACUUUUUUUUAAAAAGAAUUUGCACUGUCUGUUAAAACGCGGUCAUUGUUUUGCUUUCAAAUCGAACUUCACGACAGUUAGCAACUUCAAGAACGCUUCCAAAUGGAUAAAUCUUUCCAGAAGAUUUCUUGCUUCAAAACAGCUGCAUUUUUGGAAGAAAGUCCACAACUGACAACUAAGCAAAACCCUCCUGGUGGAUAGCAUAAAUCUGCUUUGUUGAAGCUGCUCAUUUGUCUGAUCUAUGAGUCCAGAAGAUGCAAACUCCCUUCCCAGCUUAUGCAAAAAUACUUCCAGUAAAAACAAGCCCUUUGGCCCUUUUCUUUUGUCAGUCCAGAUUUCAGCAUGUUCUUCGCUUUGUUAUUCAUCAUUUUAUGUAUUUGGACCCAUCCUCAAACAGACUUUAAACCGUUUAAAGGCAAGGAGGGACUCUUUCGUAAACCUUUAAUCCCCUGGCCCAGCUGAGUAGAUGCACAGUGUCUUUUGAUGAUGGUGAUAUGGAAUGAUUAAUAACCACACAAGGCAUUCGGUUGGUCAAGUCACUGUUUAUUGGCUCAAAAUAAUCCUUGGUUUCUGUAUGUCUACAGCUCACUUCCUAAACAGUUAAAUCCGGAGAAGUCUAAUAGAUAAUAGUUGGUGAUCAUAAAUAUAAAUAACCAAUACAUU
rnacentral:lncRNA from 1 species